rnacentral:ncRNA from 2 species
UUUAUAUGCUAGGGGUGCUUUAAGAAAUGACUAAAGCUGAGAGAAACCUUUGUUUCAACCCUAUGAACCUGAUACGGAUAAUUCCGUCGUAGGGAAGCGAUUGUAAUACUUA